UAGUAGCUGGCUGCUAGUCAGCCCUCCU
rnacentral:piRNA from 1 species